GGAUGUAGAGAUAUUGGGCCUAAGCAUCCGUAGCCGGCUACGCAAGUCUCCGGUUAAAUCCAUCUGCUUAACAGAUGGGCUGCCGGAGAUACUACAUAGCUAGGGAGCGGGAGAGGUAGACGGUAUUCGGUGGGUAGGGGUAAAAUCCUCUGAUCCAUUGAGGACCACCAGUGGCGAAGGCGGUCUACCAGAACGCGUUCGACGGUGAGGGAUGAAGGCUGGGGGAGCAAACCGGAUUAGAUACCCGGGUAGUCCCAGCUGUAAACGAUGCAGACUCGGUGAUGCACUGGCUUUUGGCCAGUGCAGUGCCGCAGGGAAGCCGUUAAGUUUGCCGCCUGGGAAGUACGUACGCAAGUAUGAAACUUAAAGGAAUUGGCGGGGGAGCAC
rnacentral:rRNA from 1 species